AGCUGCACAGUGGCAGUAUCGUAGCCAAUGAGGUUUAUCCGAGGCAUGAUUAUUGCUAAUAGAAAUUAAUAACAGAAGGAGCACCUGGCUCAGUCACUUAAGCAUCUGACUCUUGAUUUCAGCUCAGGUCAUGAUC